AUGAAGUGUGCUCCUUUCAUCUC
rnacentral:siRNA from 1 species